rnacentral:tRNA from 1 species
AUUUAAUACCCAUAUACACAUUUUAUAUAUUAUAAAUUUAAAAUUUAUCUCAAAAA